UUGCUCAUCCAACUCCAGCAUAUUCAGACACAACUUGAAUUUCAAAUGGGAAUGGCUUCUGUGGUCAGAUGAAACUAAAAAAAAAGAGCUUUCUGGCAGCAAACACUCAAGAUAGGUUUGGUACAAAAAGUACCCCAUGCCCACGGUUAAAUAUACUGCUGGAUCUUUAAUGUUGUGGGCUUAUUUUCCUGCCAGAGGUCCUGGACAUCUUGUUCAGAUACAUGGCAUCAUGGAUUCUAGCAAAUACCAACAGAUAAAAAAUGUAAACCUGACUGCAUUUUUUUUUAUGUAAAUGAUACACUUCUGUUGAAUAUUUACUUUAUAGAAAUGGUUUAUUGUCUUCAGAAAAAGUCUGUUAGCAUCUGAACUGUAAUGCUAACUAUAAGAGGUUUUGCAGGCAAUUUGUCAUUGGAUGAAAGGAACAGUUUCAGAAAAAAACUUCUACGACACAGGAAAAGUUCCUGAUUUUAAAAUUUCUGAAGCGAGCUGCUGACAUAUAGAA